rnacentral:lncRNA from 10 species
GGCUUGAGGUGGCUUCCGGCCGCCAGGCGAGACUCCGCGGGAAAACUCCCUGCUAGAGAGACUAGGAGAUUUGGGGCUGCGGCCGUUUCCUCCGGAGCACCCACGGGACUGUGUGCUGGGGUCCCUCCACCGGCUGUGUCCUUUAUUCUUCUUUCUCACCCAACGAUUUACCUGAACGGUUAUAAAGUGCACGUUAUUUCCCUAAGCACUUUGAGUAUAUUGGCCCACUGCAUUCUGGACUUCAAAAUUUCUGAUGCGAAAUAUGCUGAUACUUUUGUUGAAGAAAUCUGGGCUUUGAGCAUCUGUAAGAUAUUUGUUGGAAGGUUUUGUCUGGUCCUUCUUACUGAUGUGUUGCUCUUCUUCAUGGCUCGUGAAAACUAUUAGAGUCAUCCAAGCUUCUAGCAGAGAUGGAAUAAUAGAGACCAGAUGUACCCUCCCAGCUGAAACAACAAAAAAAUACAGAACAAAAUAUAUAAAAGAAUGGUUUUCAAGGUACUAGACAUCACACAGUGAAGGACAGUGAUCCCAGAGAGAUGAGAAACAAACAAG